rnacentral:rRNA from 1 species
AUUGAACGCUAGCGGCAGGCCUAACACAUGCAAGUCGAACGAGUGGCGGACGGGUGGUUAAUGUCUGGGACACUGCCCGAGGGAGGGGGAUAACUACUGGAAACGAUAGCUAAUACCGCAUACCAUCGGAUGUGCCCAGAUGGGAUUAGCUAGUGGUGGGGGUAACGGCUCACCUAGGCGACGAUCCCUAGCUGGUCUGAGAGGAUGACCAGCCACACUGGAACUGAGACACGGUCCAGACUCCUACGGGAGGCAGCAGUGGGGAAUAUUGCACAAUGGGCGAAAGCCUGAUGCAGCCAUGCCGCGUGUAUGAAGAAGGCCUUCGGGUUGUAAAGUACUUUCAGCGAGGAGGCGUUACCCGCAGAAGAAGCACCGGCUAACUCCGUGCCAGCAGCCGCGGUAAUUC